GUAGGGUGCGAGCGUUGUCCGGAAUUAUUGGGCGUAAAGAGCUCGUAGGCGGUUUGUCACGUCGGCCGUGAAAUCUCCACGCUUAACGUGGAGCGUGCGGUCGAUACGGGCAGACUUGAGUUCGGUAGGGGAGACUGGAAUUCCUGGUGUAGCGGUGAAAUGCGCAGAUAUCAGGAGGAACACCGGAGGCGAAGGCGGGUCUCUGGGCCGAUACUGACGCUGAGGAGCGAAAGCGUGGGGAGCGAACAGGAUUAGAUACCCUGGUAGUCCACGCUGUAAACGUUGGGCGCUAGGUGUGGGCGACAUCCACGUUGUCCGUGCCGUAGCUAACGCAUUAAGCGCCCCGCCUGGGGAGUACGGCCGCAAGGCUA
rnacentral:rRNA from 1 species